rnacentral:rRNA from 1 species
GACGAACGCUGGCGGCGUGCUUAACACAUGCAAGUCGAGCGGAAAGGCCCAGCUUGCAGGGUGAUCGAGUGGCGGACGGGUGAGUAACACGUGGGAAAUCUGCUCGGCACUGGGGGUUACGUCCGGGAAACGGGGUCUAAUACCGGUUAGGAGCGAGGGUGAGAGUGAGGGUUGGAAAGAUCUUACGGUAUCGGAUGAGCCUAGGUCGGAUUAGCUUGUUGGUGGGGUAAUGGCCUACCAAGGCGACGAGCCGUAACCGGCCUGAGGGGGUGAUCAGUCACAGUGGGUGUGACACGGUACAGAGUCCUAGGGGCGGCCGCAGUGGCGACGAUUGGAAGCUGGGCGGAAGCCUGAACAAGCGGUGCCGGGCGUAUGAAGAAGGUCUGCGGAUGGGAAAGCAGUCUUAGUUGUGAGGAAGGGUUGCAAGUUAGACCCUUGCUGUUUUGACGUUACCUACAGAAGAAGCACCGGCUAACUACGUG